CUCUGACCUGCAGAAGGCUGGACCCUCUGCAGAACAUCAAGGUUGAGCCUAGGUUGUCGAGGGCCAUGGCUGGCGUCUCACCUUCAACACUAAACUUUCUGGUGAUUCUGCUGGGCCCUCCAACCACGUCUGAACUGGUUCCGGUCUCAAGGUUUCAAUAUGUGGCUGUCCUAGAGGCUCAAAGUGCUGGUCCAAGAUCCACUAAGGAUAGCUGACUUUCCAGGCCAGUGGUGAUGAAAUCCGGAGGCCUCCUCUCACUCCGCUAGGAACCUGCUUAGAGGCAACCGGGAAGGAAGUGAAGAGGAUGAGGCUGAAGUGGCCAGGUAAGGUCUCGGUGCUGGUUGGCUCUUUGUCAACUUGACACAAGCUUGAGUCACCUCACUUGAGAAAAAUGCCUCCAUUGGAUUGGCUUGUGGGUUCUGGGAUUAUGGACUUUGAAUCUCUUCCUAUGUUCCCCUUCUCUGCAGAACCCUGGCUCUCACUACAUCUGAAAAUAUGAUGAGUGCCCACACUCAUGUGUCAGACACACAAUCCACCAAUAGUAAAAUGCACCUUCCAUUCUCUCCUGGAGACCAGGCCGGCCUUGAACCGGGAGAUCCGCCUGCCUCUGCCUCCUGAGUACUGAGACUAAAGGUGUGCGCCACCAACGCCCUGUGCUCCACACGCUUGGUGCAGCUUCCUUCCCUCACCCUACUUACUGUUCCCUGGGAGACUGGCUAGUCCUGGCUUAGUCCCAAGAGCUUCCUGGGAACUUGCUGUCCCAGGAAAUCUUUCUUUCUCCAGUUGUCAUUCGCUCUAAGGCUUUCCCUCUGGGGAUGGAAGCAGGGAAUCAGCUAAUCUUCCAUGAGAAGUCGAGACUUGCCAGCACUGCUCAGGCAACCUCAGGUCAAGCCAAUCUUUGAGCAGAGAAGCCAAACUGGCACUUCUAUCCUAGUUGUUAAAGCCCAGGCGGGGACUUGACGCCUGCCUACCUGUGCCCUUCCAGACACCCCUACAGUCACCAGCCACACUCAAAAUCCCAGACCUUUUAGAAGUG
rnacentral:lncRNA from 1 species